AGGUCGUGAUGUGGGCAAUUUCUAAGUAAACUCUUGUACCGUUCCAUGCUUCAUAAAGAGAUUCUACGGGCUGUUGCUCAAAGUUGGCAAUUGCUUUCUUUAGCUU